rnacentral:rRNA from 1 species
UACGUAGGUGGCAAGCGUUGUUCGGAUUUAUUGGGUUUAAAGGGUGCGUAGGCGGUCUUUUAAGUCAGUGCUGAAAUACUCCAGCUUAACUGGAGGGGUGGCAUUGAUACUGGAAGACUUGAGUGCAGUCGAGGUAGGCGGAAUUGACGGUGUAGCGGUGAAAUGCUUAGAUAUCGUCAAGAACACCGAUAGUGAAGACAGCUUACUAGGCUGCAACUGACGCUGAGGCACGAAAGUGUGGGGAUCAAACAGG